CUUUGGGAUAACCCUCGGAAACGGGGGCUAAUACCGGAUAUUCACAGUCUGUCGCAUGGUGGGUUGUGGAAAGUUUUUGCGGCUGGGGAUGGGCUCGCGGCCUAUCAGCUUGUUGGUGGGGUGAUGGCCUACCAAGGCGUUGACGGGUAGCCGGCCUGAGAGGGCGACCGGCCACACUGGGACUGAGACACGGCCCAGACUCCUACGGGAGGCAGCAGUGGGGAAUAUUGCACAAUGGGCGGAAGCCUGAUGCAGCGACGCCGCGUGAGGGAUGACGGCCUUCGGGUUGUAAACCUCUUUCAGCAGGGACGAAGCGCAAGUGACGGUACCUGCAGAAGAAGCGCCGGCCAACUACGUGCCAGCAGCCGCGGUAAGACGUAGGGCGCGAGCGUUGUCCGGAUUUAUUGGGCGUAAAGAGCUCGUAGGCGGCUUGUCGCGUCGACCGUGGAAACCUGCAGCUUAACUGUGGGCUUGCAGUUGAUACGGGCAGGCUAGAGUUCGGUAGGGGAGACUGGAAUUCCUGGUGUAGCGGUGAAAUGCGCAGAUAUCAGGAGGAACACCGGUGGCGAAGGCGGGUCUCUGGGCCGAUACUGACGCUGAGGAGCGAAAGCGUGGGGAGCGAACAGGAUUAGAUACCCUGGUAGUCCACGCUGUAAACGUUGGGCGC
rnacentral:rRNA from 1 species